rfam:Schistosoma curassoni strain Dakar, Senegal genome assembly, scaffold: SCTD_contig0000760
AGCUUCUAAAUCCGUGCCGAGAUUUCGUCGAACACUAACCCACUAGGGCUGGUGAGACUUCCUAGAUAAAUGUAGUG